rnacentral:rRNA from 1 species
GACGAACGCUGGCGGCGUGCUUAACACAUGCAAGUCGAACGGAAAGGCCCUGCUUUUGUGGGGUGCUCGAGUGGCGAACGGGUGAGUAACACGUGAGUAACCUGCCCUUGACUUUGGGAUAACUUCAGGAAACUGGGGCUAAUACCGGAUAGGAGCUCCUGCUGCAUGGUGGGGGUUGGAAAGUUUCGGCGGUUGGGGAUGGACUCGCGGCUUAUCAGCUUGUUGGUGGGGUAGUGGCUUACCAAGGCUUUGACGGGUAGCCGGCCUGAGAGGGUGACCGGGCACAAUGGGACUGAGAUACGGCGCAGACUCCUACGGGAGGCAGCAGGCGAGAAUAUUGCGCAAUGGGCGGAAGCCUGAUGCAGCAACGCCGCGUGCGUGAUGACGGCCUUCUGGUUGUAAACCGCUUUCGCCUGUGACGAAGCGUUAGUGACGGUAAUGGGUAAAGAAGCACCGGCUAACUACGUG